AUACAAAUAUUAACAAAAUGACUAAUUUAUCCACCCGAAAGGAUAUCUAUUUGGUGGCUAGUAGAAGCCAGCAAUUUUCAAGAAGAUAAUUCAAAACGGCCAAAAAAAAAAAAAAAAAAGCCAUCUUCACUUGAGAACUGCUAUGGCAAUAACAGCAAAUUUCAAUGGAGUAUUUGAGGCUCUGCCUAACAUCCCCAAGCUACACCAGAUGCGAAGAAAUCAACAAUUACAUGCUUUCUUAGCAAGAAAAAGAUGAAUUCGAAGACAACAAAGUGCAUACUACAAGAAGAUUGGCAAUAGGCCUUGUUUCAAUAGCACUCUUUGGAAAUACAAGCAUUGGAAAUUCUCUUGCAGAGGACAAUGGAUUUUGGCUCACAGUUGUACCCUCUGUUAACAACAAGACGGGAACUAGUUCCUUUCUCAAGAAAGGAAUCUAUAUAGCUAAUAUUGGAACUAAAGGGAGAAUGCACAGAUUGAAACGAUAUGCUUUCGAUCUCAUAGCAAUGGGAGAUAUGCCCCUUAAGUCGACAUUUAUGUACUAUGAUUUCGAUGAAGUGAUCUCUGCAGCAAAAGUAGAUGAUAAGAAAUCUCUUAAAGAACUUGCCAACCGGUUGUUCAACAACGUUGAAAAGGUAAUCUAAUCAUAACUUAUUGUUCAAUUUCCUCCCACAUAAUUUAUUUUAGAGUAAUGUUAUUUAAAACCAAUUAUAUUAAAUACCAAUUUAGAUGUCAACAUGUCAUAAAUCCUAAUAAAUAAAUCUUAAAUCCUUACAUUUAAUUGAACCUAUAAUUUGAUAGGUGUUGCUAUAACAACAAGGGGGCUGACUGCCCCCUGACCAAACCCCACAAAUGGGGAGGUCCCCUUUUUUUGCAGGCCCCGCCUGUGGGGUUCUUGUCAAGACCAGCUCCUUGUUAUAGGAGCAAAAUCCAUAAUUUGAUAACACAAGUAUUGUCACCUAAAUUGAUGUUAAAUACCGUUGUUAGCUUGAAAAUGCAAUGUAAAAACAGAAUCUUCCUCGGAGUCAUAUUAUGUAGAUACAUCAGUUCUCAUGAAUUGGCGUAAAAUUGUAACCCAAAAGAAUUUAUGAAUUGUAAAAACUUCGAUUGUC